UUUACAUCUAGACAGGUUUUGAUAAAUCUUCCCCAAUAUGUACAGCACCUGCAUACAGCCAUGGUCACCUAAAUCUCCGCCUAGGAGCCAAACUGGAAUUUGACGAACUCAAAAGGGGGAUAUGAAGAAUUCUACUUAUGUUUCCUUGAUCUUCUUACAGUAUUGGCUUCCAAAUCUAAAAAAAGACUACAUGUGGAAAAACAACAGAGACAAAUGAAAAUUAAAAACACAUGUAAACAAGAAAGUCUUCCCUUCUGCUAAAAGAUGACAAAGGUCACCAAAUUGAUAUUAAACAUGAUUAAGAUUCAUUGGAAGGAAGGAACACGAGCAGACUUUACAAGGCCAGCAGAUCUCAAAUUAAAUUAAGUUGAAACUCUACCACGGAAUUCUCAACCAGCAACAUCAGAAACACUGUCUACAUUCUAACCUGCUGUGUCACGUCCCUCCCGUAACACCUUCUACCAUCUUGAUGUUGUCUUGAUUGGGGACAUUUCGUCUUGCCUUGUCAUCAAGGAUGCAGGAGCCUAGUUUUCACAAAUAUCUUUUUCUAUGGCAGAAUGCAGACAUCUUUUUAGUACAUAUAAAGGUGGUUUCACUCAAGCCCUAUUCCUUUGAGUAUAGUUUAACUCCUUCUUGCUUGACAGGCUACUGGAUUUAUUUGUCCCUCAUUCCAUUAAACAGAUGGGUAAUGUUAAUGGUAUACAGUAUCCAUUUUCAUUGCCCCCCCCCCCCCCCCCCAAUGUUCCAGGGUAGAUGUUCCUUGCUUUGCAGUGUAAAAUUAAAUAUGGAUUCUUCUAAAUCCUUCAUUUUGGAUAAAAACUCUUCCUUUGUGACAAUUAACUUAAAUAUAUUCUGUACGUUAUACUUAUGUAAAUGUAACUUUUAUUUAACUUUUCCUGCAUUAAAAAUAAUAUAUAGUAAUUAUUGCGUAAGAACAAAAACAUUUAUAUUACAAGAGGUGAUGCUGGAAUGUGGUUAA